rnacentral:rRNA from 1 species
GACAGAGGUGCCGAGCGUUAGGCGGAAUCACUGGGCUUAAAGCGUGUGUAGGCGGGCCGUUAAGUACCUUGUGAAAUCCCCCGGCUCAACCGGGGAACGGCUGGGUAUACUGGCGGCCUUGAGGCACCCAGGGGCGAGCGGAACAGGCGGUGGAGCGGUGAAAUGCGUAGAUAUCGGCUGGAACGCCGACGGUGAAAACAGCUCGCUGGGGGUGUGCUGACGCUGAGGCACGAAAGCCAGGGGAGCGAACGGG